rnacentral:lncRNA from 1 species
AGAAGUCAACCCUAACAUAGCCCACUUUAAUUAAACAUAUUCAACAUGACUAAUCUCGUAACAACUUGUGCUUAUCUUAUGCUAAGUACCAGUGUGACAUGGCAUAAUAUAAUAGGUGGUGGAAGAUAAUGAUUGAUUACAAAAUUGAUUAUACCACAUAUUAUAGUGUGUCAUGUCACUUAGUGCACGGGUGCUUAGGAGAUUAAUUUCAGCAUGCAAAUUAACUUCCCAACCCAGUAUUUCACAAACUCUCCUUUGCAGGUCGUAACCAUUUCUCAACAAAAUUAUUGCCUCACAAAAUCUCUUAACCCGCUUAAAUCGUGCAUUUGAAGGCUCCUUUUAGUCAUUUUUUCUUGAUUCCUAAGUUUAAUUCUAUUCUCUCUCUCAAUUUUU